UACAGAGGUCUCAAGCGUUGUUCGGAUUCAUUGGGCGUAAAGGGUGUGUAGGUGGCGCCGUAAGUCGGGUGUGAAAUUUCGGAGCUUAACUCCGAAACUGCAUUCGAUACUGCGGUGCUUGAGGACUGGAGAGGAGACUGGAAUUCAUGGUGUAGAGUGAAAUGCGUAGAGAUCAUGAGGAAGACCGUGGCGAAGGCGGGUCGUCUGG
rnacentral:rRNA from 1 species